AGAAGGAGCUUGCUCCUUUGAGACCGGCGCACGGGUGCGUAACGCGUAUGCAAUCUACCUUGUACAGGGGAAUAGCCCAGAGAAAUUUGGAUUAAUGCCCCAUAGUAUAUAACCUUCGCAUGUUGGUUAUAUUAAAGUUCCAACGGUACAAGAUGAGCAUGCGUCCCAUUAGUUAGUUGGUAAGGUAACGGCUUACCAAGACGAUGAUGGGUAGGGGUCCUGAGAGGGAGAUCCCCCACACUGGUACUGAGACACGGACCAGACUCCUACGGGAGGCAGCAGUGAGGAAUAUUGGUCAAUGGUCGCAAGACUGAACCAGCCAUGCCGCGUGCAGGAAGACGGUCCUAUGGAUUGUAAACUGCUUUUAUACAGGAAGAAACCCUCCCACGUGUGGGAGCUUGACGGUACUGUAGGA
rnacentral:rRNA from 1 species